rnacentral:misc_RNA from 1 species
AAGUCGUAACAAGGUUUCCGUAGGUGAACCUGCGGAAGGAUCAUUAAUAAAUAAACCUUUAUGGGUUUUUUUAAAAAUCCAUAUCCACCCUUUUGUGCACCGUUAAAAAAAAAAUUAUUUUGCCUUUCCGGCUGAAUCGAGGGGACUUUUUUUGUUUGAAAAAAGGUUGAAAAGCUAAUUCUUUUAUUGGCCAGACAAUUUCUUUUUUUUAAAUGAUGGGCUUCUUUGACCGGCCGAAAGGGUAUAUCUUAUCUAAACCCUUAUUGUUUGAUUGUGACUGAAGUAAAAUAUCUUUGCAGCAAUGCAAUAAUAAUAAAAUUUUAAUACAACUUUCAACAACGGAUCUCUUGGCUCUG